CACGUAGGGUGCGAGCGUUGUCCGGAAUUAUUGGGCGUAAAGAGCUCGUAGGCGGUGUGUCGCGUCGGCCGUGAAAACCUGCAGCUUAACUGUGGGCGUGCGGUCGAUACGGGCAUCACUGGAGUUCGGCAGGGGAGACUGGAAUUCCUGGUGUAGCGGUGAAAUGCGCAGAUAUCAGGAGGAACACCAGCGGCGAAGGCGCCGCUCUGGGCCGUAACUGACGCUGAGGAGCGAAAGCAUGGGUAGCAAACAGG
rnacentral:rRNA from 1 species